GAUGAACGCUAGCGAUAGGCUUAACACGUGCAAGUCGAGGGGCAGCAUGGUCUUAGCUUGCUAAGACUGAUGGCGACCGGCGCACGGGUGCGUAACGCGUAUGCAACUUGCCUCACAGAGGGGGAUAACCCGUCGAAAGACGGACUAAUACCGCGUACACUCUAUUUUGGGCAUCCAAGGUAGAGGAAAUGAAAUUCGCUGUGAGAUAGGCAUGCGUCCCAUUAGCUAGUUGGUGAGGUAACGGCUCACCAAGGCGACGAUGGGUAGGGGAACUGAGAGGUUGAACCCCCACACUGGUACUGAGACACGGACCAGACUCCUACGGGAGGCAGCAGUGAGGAAGAUUGGUCAAGGGGCGAGAGCCUGAACCAGCCAAGUCGCGUGAAGGAUGACUGUCUUAUGGAUUGUAAACUUCUUUUGUAGGGGAAUAAAGAGGGGCACGUGUGCCCCAGUGAAUGUACCCUACGAAUAAGCAUCGGCUAACUCCGUG
rnacentral:rRNA from 1 species